rnacentral:rRNA from 1 species
AUGAUUGCUGCCUCUCUCCCGCCUCAUUUUUGGGCUGAGGUUGUCUCCACAUCCACCUAUCUGAUCAAUAUACAGCCUUCCGCUGCUCUACAGGGUGGUGUUCCUUUCGAGCGACUUUUUGAUUGUUCUCCCGAUUAUUCGAUGCUUCGCUCGUUUGGUUGUGUUUGCUAUGUUCUUCUUGCCUCUCGGGAACGCACCAAACUGACCGCUCAGUCUGUUGAGUGUGUCUUCUUAGGCUACAGUGAUGAGCAUAAGGGCUAUCGUUGUUGGGAUCCUAUUGGUCGUCGGAUGCGUAUCUCUCGAGACGUGACUUUUGAUGAGUCUCGUCCCUUCUACCCACGCCCAUCUUCCUCGACUUUUUCAAUGCAGGAUAUCUCUUUCCUCACUUUUCCUGACUCACCUAUCACCCCCGUCGAGACUGUACCUCUCCGUUCCACUUCCUCUCCUUCCCCACCUCUAGUUGAUUUGCAGCCACCAUCCUCUCCGGUCUCCUCGCCGAGCAUGUCACCGGGUUCUCCACCUUCAUCUCCGGUGACUUCCUCUCCGGUCUCCUCUCCCAGCCUAUCACUGGACUCUACACCUUCAUCUCCGGUGAUUUCUUCGUCACCACCCCCCGAUUCUACCUUGACGAUUCCUCCUUCUAUUAUUCCAUCUUUUCCUCAGCAUUACACUCGUCGUCCACGACCAGUCGAUGCUUCUGUGGAUGAGUCGUCCUCUUCCUCUCAGCCUACUUAUGGCUUGCGUUCUCGUCCUCGCCCGCCUGUUGAUCGCUUUGGCUUUCCCACCGCUGGUGCUGCUGUUCUAGAGCCAACUUCUUACCAUCAGGCUGUUGUUCAUCCUGAAUGGCAGUUUGCGAUGGCAGAGGAGAUUGCUGCUCUUGAACGCACUGGUACCUGGGAUCUUGUUUCUCUUCCUCCCGGAGUUCGUCCGAUCACUUGUAAGUGGGUCUACAAGGUUAAGACUCGCUCCGAUGGUUCGCUUGAGCGUCACAAAGCUCGUCUUGUGGCUCGUGGUUUUCAGCCAUGGUCGUGA